CCACUGAGAAAAGUACAUCUAAUAAAAUUGGAAUGAUAGAUUAGCAUGGUCCUUGCACAAGGAUGACAUGGAAUACUUGUUUUUUGUUCUUUU
rnacentral:snRNA from 2 species